rnacentral:rRNA from 1 species
CCUACGGGGGGCUGCAGUAGGGAAUAUUGCUCAAUGGGGGAAACCCUGAAGCAGCAACGCCGCGUGGAGGAUGAAGGUUUUCGGAUUGUAAACUCCUUUUGUUAGAGAAGAAAAUGACGGUAUCUAACGAAUAAGCACCGGCGAACUCCGUGCCAGCAGCCGCGGUAAUACGGAAGGUGCAAGCGUUACUCGGAAGCACCGGGCGUAAAGGGCGCGUGGGGGGGAUAGCAAGUCAGAUGUGAAAUCCUAUGGCUUAACCAUAGAACUGCAUUUGAAACUGUUAUUCUAGAGUAUGGGAGAGGUAGGUGGAAUUCUUGGUGUAGGGGUAAAAUCCGUAGAGAUCAAGAGGAAUACUCAUUGCGAAGGCGACCUGCUAGAACCUAACUGACGCUGAUGCGCGAAAGCGUGGGGAGCAAACAGGAUUAGAUACCCGUGUAGUC